AUAAUAACUCCGCCUGUAGCCCCUCCUGGGGCUACUGCCGGUCCCAAGCCCGGGUAAAGGAGGAGGGUUGG
rnacentral:ribozyme from 2 species